rnacentral:lncRNA from 1 species
AAUUUUGAAGUAUGUUUUCCUUCUGAAACAUCUGUUUAAAUUGAUUCUAUCAAGUCUGCAAAAUAGGGAUGAUCAAUUCUGACCUUCCUUUACUCUAUUUGUUGUAACUUCCUGUCAAGAACUCAAAAAAUUAUAAAUCUGAGUUCAUCGGAAUAUAGAUUGAUACAGCUUUCCAAUGACACCUUUUUUUAGUGAUUUGGAGCAUAUUUGGUCACUCAAACAAUUCAG